rnacentral:rRNA from 1 species
AGUCGAGCGAACAGACGAGGAGCUUGCUCCUCUGACGUUAGCGGCGGACGGGUGAGUAACACGUGGAUAACCUACCUAUAAGACUGGGAUAACUUCGGGAAACCGGAGCUAAUACCGGAUAACAUGUUGAACCGCAUGGUUCAACAGUGAAAGACGGUCUUGCUGUCACUUAUAGAUGGAUCCGCGCCGCAUUAGCUAGUUGGUAAGGUAACGGCUUACCAAGGCAACGAUGCGUAGCCGACCUGAGAGGGUGAUCGGCCACACUGGAACUGAGACACGGUCCAGACUCCUACGGGAGGCAGCAGUAGGGAAUCUUCCGCAAUGGGCGAAAGCCUGACGGAGCAACGCCGCGUGAGUGAAGAAGGUCUUCGGAUCGUAAAACUCUGUUAUUAGGGAAGAACAAAUGUGUAAGUAACUAUGCACGUCUUGACGGUACCUAAUCAGAAAGCCACGGCUAACUACGUGCCAGCAGCCGCGGUAAUACGUAGGUGGCAAGCGUUAUCCGGAAUUAUUGGGCGUAAAGCGCGCGUAGGCGGUUUUUUAAGUCUGAUGUGAAAGCCCACGGCUCAACCGUGGAGGGUCAUUGGAAACUGGAAAACUUGAGUGCAGAAGAGGAAAGUGGAAUUCCAUGUGUAGCGGUGAAAUGCGCAGAGAUAUGGAGGAACACCAGUGGCGAAGGCGACUUUCUGGUCUGUAACUGACGCUGAUGUGCGAAAGCGUGGGGAUCAAACA